CGGGGGCCACGUGACCGGCGGCCCGCGCGCGGGUGCGCGUGCGCACGCCGCCGCCGCUCGGGCCGGGGCCUGGGCGUCCCGCGGCUGGGGCAGCAACCUCAGAUUUAAUCUCAGGACAGAACUGGACCAGACAUUCCAAGACCCUGGUGAUACAACAGGUGAUUCAUUUGCUAACAGGAAAUAACACUCAACACUGUUCACAAACUCAGUUGAAGCUGAAGCUGAAAAACGACUACCGAGGGAAGAACGGACAAAGAUGUCAGAAUCAGAAUCAAAGGGUGGCAGCCGGCAAGUAACAUGUUAACAUGUUAACAUGAAUUUCACUGAAUGGGUUAAGGCCAGAUUGACUAACUUACCUACUACCAAAAAAUCAGCACCAAGCUUUACCGUCACAUUUGUUAAUAAAGGCAAUCAAUAAAAAGAACUUUUGGGGCUGGAGUGAUAGCACAGCGGGUAGGGCGCUUGCCUUGCACGCAGCCGACCCGGGUUCGAUUCCCAGCAUCCCAUAUGGUCCCCUGAGUACUGCCAGGGGUAAUUCCUGAGUGCAGAGCCAGGAGUGACCCCUGUGCAUUGCCGGGUGUGACCCAAAAAGCAAAAAAAAAAAAAAAAAGAACUUUUUCAUUCCAACACACUGUAAUUUUAUUCCCAGUUCAGGUGGGCUGGGGAAAUCACUUAUGCUUGGUAUUUGCGACUGUCAGCAUAGUGUCCAAUAAAUAAAAAGCAACUGUGGCUGGCUGACUAGGUUGAAGCAAGACGGUCUGCCUCACUAUUUCACUGUUAAUAUAAACUCAAUUGCUACUUCUUGCAAAAUUGGACUUUUUUUUUUUUUAAUUCUGUGUUUUUAUAAAUAUAAGAAGAGCCCUGAAGUCAAAUCAGAGGAUUCCACUUUUUGUCCAUUUGAAAGAAUCUAUUCCCCGCCCCCUCCUCUCCCUCCCUCCCAUUUGAAAGAAUCUAAAUGUUUCAAAAUAAGAUACAACCAUGUAACUUGUACUUGUUUUUGUUUCUAGUUCCUUACAACUUAUUAUGAGCAAAUGUUUUAAAAUAUUACUUAAACACAGUAUAAUAUUUUAACUGUAGAUUUGUGGGGUUUUUUUUGGGUGCUACGGAUCCUAUCCAGAGCUUCACACAUGCCAAGUGCUCUACCACUAAGCAAUAGCCUUGAUCUGUAACUGCAGACUUUCAGAAGCAGGUUUACUACAUAACUAAUACUGGCCAAACCGAAAUCGGAUGCAUAAUAUCUAUGUUAUGUUUGUAAUCAUACGCUGCUUAAACGUUUCAUUCAAGGACCACGACAUCCAUGACAAGUGACCGUCAGCACAGCUGUGCAGGCUCUAUUUGGGAAAUCAUGCUUGAUGAAAUCAUAAUAGAUCUAAUAAAGUUUAUUCUUGAUGUCAUGUAACAGUGUAACACAUUUUGCUUUUCCUUUCAUUCAUCAAAGAGUGUUUCAAAUCUAUAGUACUUGUAGGGUAGCUUUUAGGAAAAAAAUUCUGUUUCUCACCAAAAAUGUUACCUGGCAUUUUCAAAUGUAACACCUGUCAGAGAGGUGGCUUUCCCUCUGAGACCAGGGCACUCCUGACAGAACUGACACACGGGCCGGGAGAGUGGGACACUAACAACGUGACUGCUGCUCUCCCCUCGUCAAGCGGGCAGUCGACCAAGUUACACCAGAAGAUAAAGACAAUCCUCUUAAAUAUAAUGUUGCAAAAAUGUCAUCAGAGGACACAUGAUCCUUAUCUUUUAUCAUAAAAUUACUAUGUAGAAAUAGUAACUUUGCUUUAUGUUAGCAAUCUGAAGGAAUUUAACACAAAACCAAAUGGGGGCUCUGGGGCAUGGCUAAGUGGCAAAAGGCACCUGCUUUGCACGAAUUCGAUGGUGUCACCCAGUGUUCCGAGCAGCCCUGUCCUGGCAGCAGCCCUGUCCCUGGGACCCCAGCACCCCAACAGCACAGAUGUAUGCACAGCCUGGUGUGAGCAUACUGCUGCCAGUCGGGCCCACAAGCACGUGUGAGCACCACAAGAAAGGGAAGAUCGCUCAGGUUUCCAAGCACCACAACUGCAAGUGUGCAGCUCCUGGUGAGCACAGUGUGCGAGCAUUGCAACCAGGUGACCUGCAACCAUCAGAAUAGCGGCAAAAGGAAGGGCAGGAAGAGGAAUCUCUCUUCAGGGAGCUGCCUGAGCUGUGUUCAGACAAGGGCCUGGACAGGGCUGAGGGUGCCACUGCAAACAAUACUUGGCCUGGCUGGAGCCUGACAGUGGGACUCGGGCCAGCAAUGCAGCGCUGACCAGCCUGGCAGUACGAGAGGCCAACAGGGUGGCACCCAGCAUGACUGGGGAGACAGAGGGAGACAUCUGGAACACAGCCCUUCUAGACUGCAGUUACCCCGAAUAGCCCCAGUCUGCUUUACUGCUACUGCAGUGAGAGUACUGUGGAACCAGCUUGGGACACCCGCCUGCGAGGCAUGGGCCCCACCCCUCUAACUAAAUCCUUAGUUAACACAGAAAAACAAGAAAAGAAAAGAUGCUACCACU